rnacentral:rRNA from 1 species
AGACCCGAAACCCGGUGAUCUAGCCAUGGGCAGGUUGAAGGUUGGGUAACACUAACUGGAGGACCGAACCGACUAAUGUUGAAAAAUUAGCGGAUGACCUGUGGCUGGGGGUGAAAGGCCAAUCAAACCGGGAGAUAGCUGGUUCUCCCCGAAAGCUAUUUAGGUAGCGCCUCGUGAAUUCAUCUCCGGGGGUAGAGCACUGUUUCGGCUAGGGGGCCAUCCCGGCUUACCAACCCGAUGCAAACUGCGAAUACCGGAGAAUGUUAUCACGGGAGACACACGGCGGGUGCUAACGUCCGUCGUGAAGAGGGAAACAACCCAGACCGCCAGCUAAGGUCCCAAAGUCAUGGUUAAGUGGGAAACGAUGUGGGAAGGCCCAGACAGCCAGGAUGUUGGCUUAGAAGCAGCCAUCAUUUAAAGAAAGCGUAAUAGCUCACUGGUCGAGUCGGCCUGCGCGGAAGAUGUAACGGGGCUAAACCAUGCACCGAAGCUGCGGCAGCGAACGUAUCACUUAAAGCGAUUCAGCGGGUUACGACUGACGGAGCGAAGCGACGUCAAAGCGUAUACAAAGUCGAGUCGGUUUAAGGAUACGUUCGUUGGGUAGGGGAGCGUUCUGUAAGCCUGCGAAGGUGGCCUGUGAGGGUUGCUGGAGGUAUCAGAAGUGCGAAUGCUGACAUAAGUAACGAUAAAGCGGGUGAAAAGCCCGCUCGCCGGAAGACCAAGGG